GGGAAUUUUCCGCAUGGGCGAAAGCCUGACGGAGCAAUGCCGCGUGGAGGUGGAAGGCCUACGGGUCGUCAACUUCUUUUCUCGGAGAAGAAACAAUGACGGUAUCUGAGGAAUAAGCAUCGGCUAACUCUGUGCCAG
rnacentral:rRNA from 1 species